rnacentral:rRNA from 1 species
AUUGAACGCUGGCGGCAUGCUUUACACAUGCAAGUCGAACGGUAACAGGCCUUCGGGUGCUGACGAGUGGCGAACGGGUGAGUAAUGCAUCGGAACGUGCCCAGAGGUGGGGGAUAACGCAGCGAAAGCUGUGCUAAUACCGCAUGUGAUCUGAGGAUGAAAGCGGGGGACCAGGCAGCAAUGUUUGGCCUCGCGCCUUUGGAGCGGCCGAUGUCAGAUUAGGUAGUUGGUGGGGUAAAGGCCUACCAAGCCGACGAUCUGUAGCUGGUCUGAGAGGACGACCAGCCACACUGGGACUGAGACACGGCCCAGACUCCUACGGGAGGCAGCAGUGGGGAAUUUUGGACAAUGGGCGCAAGCCUGAUCCAGCAAUGCCGCGUGCGGGAAGAAGGCCUUCGGGUUGUAAACCGCUUUUGUACGGUACGAAAAGGCUCUGGCUAAUACCUGGGGCUGAUGACGGUACCGUAAGAAUAAGCACCGGCUAACUACGUG